rnacentral:misc_RNA from 1 species
UUUUAUAGCAAAACAUGCACAGUUUUUGAAUGAAAUGAGCAAGCUCCAGGUUGCUGAUCUAGUCAUUCCACUGAGAGAACUGGCGCACACAGAUGCAAAUGUUGCAUAUCACCUCUGGGUUUUGGUGUUCCCUAUUGUGUGGGUGACUUUGCACAAGGAAGAACAGGUAGCACUUGCAAAGCCAAUGAUAACUCUGUUAUCAAAGGAUUAUCAUAAGAAGCAGGCAGCCCAUCGGCCAAAUGUUGUGCAAGCUCUUCUGGAAGGACUUCAGCUGAGUCAUCCUCAGCCUCGAAUGCCUAGUGAAUUAAUCAAGUACAUCGGAAA